rnacentral:rRNA from 1 species
AACGCGAAGAACCUUACCUAGGCUUGACAUGCAUCUCUAAGCGCGUGAAAGCGCGUGACCCUUCGGGGGAUUUGCACAGGUGCUGCAUGGCCGUCGUCAGCUCGUGUCGUGAGAUGUUGGGUUAAGUCCCGCAACGAGCGCAACCCUUGUGAUUAGUUGCCAUCGGGUCAUGCCGGGAACUCUAAUCAGACUGCCCAGAUCAACUGGGAGGAAGGUGGGGACGACGUCAGGUCAGUAUGGCCCUUACGCCUAGGGCUGCACACGUACUACAAUGCCCAGUACAAUGAGAACCGAUACCGCGAGGUGGAGGAAAUCUGUAAAACUGGGCCCAGUUCGGAUUGGAGGCUGCAACUCGCCUCCAUGAAGUUGGAAUCGCUAGUAAUGGCGCAUCAUCUACGGCGCCGUGAAUACGUUCCCGGGNNNNGNNCACACCG